rnacentral:rRNA from 1 species
AACGUAGGAGACGAACGUUAUCCGGAGUUACUGGGCGUAAAGGGCGUGCAGGCGGCUUGAUAAGUUCGGCGUGAAAUUUCCCGGCUUAACCGGGGGAUGUCGUCGGAGACUGUCGAGCUAGAGGGUGAUAGAGGCGUGUGGAAUUCCGGGUGUAGUGGCGAAAUGCGUAGAGAUCCGGAGGAACACCAGUGGCGAAGGCGACACGCUGGGUCAUACCUGACGCUAAAACGCGACAGCAUGGGGAGCGAACGGG